rnacentral:tRNA from 1 species
UGGCUCAGAUGGUAAAGCAUCUGCCUAAAAUGCAGGAGACCUGGGUUCAAUCCCUG